AACGUAGGUGGCGAGCGUUAUCCGGAUUUACUGAGCGUAAAGGGUGUGCAGGCUGCCCCUCAAGUGGUGUAUGAAAGGGCUCGGCUCAACCGGGCUAGGUUAUGCCAGACUGAGGGGCUAGAGAGCGAGAGCGGGACGUGGAAUUCCGGGUGUAGUGGUGAAAUGCGUAGAGAUCCGGAGGAACCCCAGAGGCGAAGGCGGCGUCCUGGCUCGCAUCUGACGCUCAGACACGACAGCAUGGGGAGCGAACGGG
rnacentral:rRNA from 1 species